UACAGAGGUCCCAAGCGUUGUUCGGAUUCAUUGGGCGUAAAGGGUGCGUAGGCGGCGCGGUAAGUCGGGUGUGAAAUCUCGGAGCUUAACUCCGAAACUGCAUUCGAUACUGCCGUGCUUGAGGACUGGAGAGGAGACUGGAAUUUACGGUGUAGCGGUGAAAUGCGUAGAUAUCGUAAGGAAGACCAAUGGCGAAGGCAGCACUCUGGGACGUGACUGACGCUGAGACGCGAAAGCGUGGGGAGCAAACAGG
rnacentral:rRNA from 1 species